GAAACUGAAAAUUUUGGCGUGCGCAUUUGUUGUAUUUCCCUCCUUCCCCAUUUCUUUCCCUUGCUCUAAUCUCUACAAUUCACUACUCACCCUCUACUAGUUUUUUCUCAUGUUCUAAAAAAAGUUCUUCUGGUUAAACUUUGUCCAUGCUUCUCUAAUUUCUCAUCUAUUUCUUCCUCGAAAUUCUUAUGGAAACCAAAAUGAGCAUCGAUACAUUCAAGGAGGCCAAUUUGAAGGGAAAGAGGGUGUUUGUGAGAGAUGAUUUCAAUUUCAACAUCAUCGAUGACACCAUAAUCAGUAUUUGCUCAACCAUGGUAUUGGGUCAUCCUGUCCAGCCAUCUAUGGUGAGUUCGCUGAGGGAUUUUGAAGAAGGAAUAAGAACAAGAGAUGAAGUUGAAGAAGAAGACAACGACUUAAGGAGGGAAUCACAAUCAACUUAUUGAGAAAGAACAUGCUCAAGAGAUAACUUCAUCACCAAAUUCUCUCCAUUGUUUGGCUUAAUUUGACUCAUGAUCCAACUUUCACUUCAUCCAACUCGACAACUCAAAGCUCUUUAUCCAUAAUCUCAAUCUAGUUUGACUCAAAGAUGAAAGCUUAAUUCUAUGAUGACAUAAUUUGAAUGCUUGUAAAUUUUCUAUUUUGUGAACUUAUAUAGUUGCAAGUUAUAUUUGAUGUACUUUUAUUGUUGGAUAAUUUCAUUAUUUUAUAAGAUACAAAUGGAUUACAAAUUUCUAUUAUUAAAGGAAGUCAUGAUAUUUAAUGCAUUACCAAGUA